rnacentral:rRNA from 1 species
AUUGAACGCUGGCGGCAUGCUUUACACAUGCAAGUCGAACGGUAACAGGCCGCAAGGUGCUGACGAGUGGCGAACGGGUGCGUAAUGCAUCGGAACGUGCCCAGUCGUGGGGGAUAACUACUCGAAAGAGUAGCUAAUACCGCAUACGAUCUAUGGAUGAAAGCGGGGGACCGUAAGGCCUCGCGCGAUUGGAGCGGCCGAUGUCAGAUUAGGUAGUUGGUGGGGUAAAGGCUCACCAAGCCAACGAUCUGUAGCUGGUCUGAGAGGACGACCAGCCACACUGGGACUGAGACACGGCCCAGACUCCUACGGGAGGCAGCAGUGGGGAAUUUUGGACAAUGGGCGCAAGCCUGAUCCAGCAAUACCGCGUGCAGGAAGAAGGCCUUCGGGUUGUAAACUGCUUUUGUACGGAACGAAACGGCUCUGGUUAAUACCCGGGGCUAAUGACGGUACCGUAAGAAUAAGCACCGGCUAACUACGUG